rnacentral:rRNA from 1 species
GAUUAUGGCUCAGGAUGAACGCUGGCGGCGUGCCUAAUACAUGCAAGUGAAACGGGUAUCUUCGGAUACCAGUCGCGGACGGGUGAGUAAUACAUAGGCAACCUGCCUUUAUGAGGGGGAUAACCGAGGGAAACUUUGGCUAAUACCGCAUGAAGACUCUAAGGCAUCUUAGAGGGAUAAAAGUUGGGAAACAACGCAUGAAGAUGGGCUUAUGGCGCAUUAGCUAGUUGGUGAGAUAGAAGCCCACCAAGGUAAUGAUGCGUAGCCGACCUGAGAGGGUGAACGGCCACAUUGGGACUGAGACACGGCCCAAACUCCUACGGGAGGCAGCAGUAGGGAAUUUUCGGCAAUGGGGGGAACCCUGACCGAGCAACGCCGCGUGAAGGAAGAAGGUUUUCGGAUUGUAAACUUCUGUUAUAAGGGAAGAACGGAUUGGAUAGGGAAUGAUCUGAUAGUGACGGUACCUUAUUAGAAAGCCACGGCUAACUACGUGCCAGCCGCCGC